UAGUGAUUCAAUCCAAUAUGUAAUAAAACCUCCUCCCCGGAGGAAGCUAUGUAAAGAAUCACAUUAUUAGCUGGACAGACUUAAUAAUGCUGAGUCUCUUCAGAAGCAGUGAUGGUCAUUUUGUUUUCCUCUGGUUGCUUAUAUAUAGCGUAUAUCACUUAUAUAUAGUGAUUUCUAUAACACCAGGGAGAGCUUGAGGUCUCCAGCAGCUUGAGUUUAGAGAGUGCAUUGCUGACAUCUGCUGGAAACACUGCUUAAAAACUGUGAAUCUUUAAAAAAUAUUUUUAUUGUUACAGAAUAUUUCCCUUAACAUGAAGGUAUGUAGCAGGCUCUGGAAGAUUAGAACUGCAGCAGUGUGGAAGAUGGGGGUCAAUCAUGGAGAUGUUGGAGUAUGCCGAUGACUUCCUCAUUUCCAACGAAGCCGUGGAAACCAGCUCAUCACCAGAGAUCCCCACUCUGUUCUCUCAGAGUGACAAUUGUCUCAUUUCCACUGCGGCAAUGGAAAAGUGUUCCUUUGCUGCCACUGUGGCAAAAGAACCUGGCUGCUCUUUAAGGUCCCCUCUGCCCCCUCCUGCCAGUGCAUGGAGUGGGGCCUCUGCAGGAAAGCUCGGCUCCUCAGAUGCCUCAGUGACCAUCAGAGCCCCAUGUGGAGGUGGUGCACAGAGUGAGGAAACCGCUGAAGCUGGAUGAGGCCGUGAAAAGGCAGCUGGAGUGGCACAUGGUAAAAAUGCAGAUACAGCGGUGCUUCGGGCUACCCAAGAAGGUUCUGGCCUCCUACAAGAAGCUCUCAGAGACCACCCAGGAGCUACAAGACUACCAUCCUCCUCCACAGAGGCACACUGUGCUGCUCUACCGCUCACCCUUCCAGAAGUUCCUUAUAAACACAAGGAAGAACUCCUUUACUGUGAACACAGAAACAGGCUGUCCAGAGAGGUUGUGGAGUGUCCUUCUCUGGAGAUGUUGAAGACACAUCUGAAUGCUCUCCCAUGAGACCUGCUGUGGGAAACCUGCUUUACUAGGGGACUGGACUUGAUUUCCAGAGGUCCUUUCCAAUCUCUACUAUUCUGUAAUUCUGUUAAAUGUUCCUCAGAAUAAAAUAUAUAUAUGUAAAUAUAAAUAUAUAUAUUUUACCUGAUUAUAUACAUUUAAUAGCAUAAAUAUUUUUGUAAAAAGAACCUUUGCCUUAUAAAGCACAGCCUGUGGAAGAAAACUCACUAUGAAAUAAAGCAUUUGAAGAAAUUAGAACAGAAAACUAUAUUUCAGUUGCACAUGCCAUCAUCACUGUGCCUGUCUCCACUUGGGAGCUUGUUUUGUUACCUUCCUUUUGGCUCUUAUGAGUAUUCAUCAAUAACAUAUGUGCUUUUAGCAACCUGAAUAUUUUAUGAACUCUUCUACUCAUUUUUGGCAGCUUUUCUUUGUGCUGAAGAGAAUAGGAAAAUGUUAGGACACCAAGUAUCUUUUUGCAUCUUAUUCUGCUACAUUGUAUUCCAUCUCAAUUUCUAGAAGUGAUUAGGAUUUUCAUACUCUGUAUUGUGUUUCAGCCGCAAAAAUGAUUGCAAGGGCCUGGUCAGUGCAUAUAACUGAUAUUUUUUUCCACUGGAUUCCAUCAAAUUGAUUGUCCUUCAUAAAGAUAAAUUAACUAAGCAGAAAUGUCUGGGUUUAAUUUCAGUUGCAUUGUUUUCAGUGGUACAAAAUAUACUUCUCUGGUUACAAUAGCAUCCAGCAGGUUUUGUAUAUUGGGUGAUGAAGGGUGGAUCCCCAAAUGUCUGAAUGUUCAUCUCUGAUAAACACUCAGUAAUCUGGCUGUCUGACAUACCUGCUGAGUCCUCAGUUUAUAAAAGUGGAAAUUUAAUGUGGACAAGACAUAAUGUGAAAUCCCUGGUUCAUUGCAAUUCUAUCUGGUUUUAUACAGUUCCUGCUUUCCCCACCUUUGUAGCUUCUUUUUGGGUAAAGAUUGAUAGAGGAAGAGCCAUAUUUCUAGGGUCAGACCUUUAGAUCUUGGGCCAGGUCAAGGCUUUAAACACUUGACAAAGAGAAUCCCAUUUUCUUAAUCCCCUUUAAUGCAUCCUAUUCAAAAGAGAUAACAGCCUUUCAGCAACAUUUUUCUUCAGAAACUCAUCAUAAUUUCUUGGUAGCUUGUCAAUUUAUUUUGAGAUGGCAUAUCAAUACACUAAUUUUUAAAUAGAGUAACCCCAUUUGAGCACUAAGACAAGUCCAAAACAGACUUCAGACCAAAAAAAAAUGUUCCUGUUUAGUUCAUUAGCAUGAGAGAGUUUUCUACAUCAUUCUACUGCUUUAGCUUGAUGUCUUCUUUCCACCUACCAUCCAGUAAUCUUUUUCUGACAUGUAACAAGAGUCCUGCUAGUACAGUUGUAGAGGAGGGUUAUACCUGGGUGAACAAAGAGCUGACCAGAUUCCCUCUGGCUGGGUGAGUAGAAUGAUUGCACCAAAGUAUUGCAGAGGAGCAGGAAAGUUAAUAGGUCAGUUCCAAUGGGAUAGUGGAAAUUUAGCAAAUUGAAAUGGAUUCAAAGUUUCCAGAAGUGAAUUCCCUUUCCCAUAAAUCUUUCAAUGACAUAGACUCAGGUCCUCGCGUCAAGGAUGUUUUCUUUCUAUUUCUCAAGGGUCAUCAAAUAUUCUUUACUUAGAGAUUAAAAUUUUAUAUUUAAUCAGAAAAAGCACAAAAAGAAACUUCUCACAUAGCUGAGAGAAUAAGUUUAUAUCUGAUUACAUGGGAGAAACAGGACAAGCAGAAACAGCAAUCAAAGUUUAAUUUGCAAUCUGGUGAUCUUGUGUCACAAACAAUUAAUUGAUCAGUGUUGUUUGCAUGAAGAAGUCCAAAAUCUUCAGUCAAACAUGAAAUAUAAUGUGCUAUGCACAUUUUUAAUCAGAAGAGAAAAUGAACCACGAUCCAAAGAAAAGGUAGAAAAUAGUGUAUAGAAAAAUGAAUGGAAUAAAGAAUGAAGCUGGAAUGGCAAAAUCACCCACAUUGGUAAGGAGCAUUAAAUAGUUAGCUGUUCUGACCCAUCACAUGCCAGCGGGUAAGCUAAUGUCCUGAACCUCUGCUGUGGUUGACCAAUGUGGGCAAAUCCAUUACAAGGGAAAGAACAAGCCAGAAGGAAAGGCAGUUUCACCAAAAUGAAUAUUUGGGGCCUCGCCAAAUUCUCAGUAUCCUCAUGGAAUCAUAAUAUGAGAAACAAUUUGAAACAAUCAGCCAAAGUUUUGUGACCUCCUUUACAAAGAGGAGAAAUUAACUGGGUAUGAAUUGAGGAAAUUCUCUUCAAGCUUAGGAGUUCUGUGCUGAUCAUUUCUGUAUAGAUUGUACAGUUGAAAGAUAGGUGGGGUUUGAAAAUAACAAGAAAAAAAAAACAGUACAUUAUUUCUGUAUUUCUGUUUUCACAUUUUAUAAAUGCACUUUCAUAUUUCGUCUUUUACCUUUAUUCCAAAGUCUGUAUUUCAUGUGCUACAGAUUAGGGAUAUAUAUACGUACACAUGUAUGCUAUCAAAUCACUCCGUGAUUCAAUACGACAUUCAGUAUUCCUCCCAAAGCAAUGAACGUACCAAAUUAUUCUACAUGAAAUUCAGAUCCACAGUUUUAGUUGUCACUCACAUAAACCCUUGUAUAAGUGACCAAUACAUGCUUCCAAACACAGACAAAAUAAAGGUUCUAUAAUUUGGAAGUCUACCUUCUACUCAGAAAUUGCCAUAUAAAACAGGGUAAUAUCAAAACGUCUACAGAAUUUCCUGGACAUUUGCUUUGCUCCCUUACUAGGAUACGGAACAUUCUGUUGGAAUGGGAUUUAAAAAAAAAACAAAAGUGUAGUGGAGUUGUGAUUUAUAUUGUAUGUAUAACACCAGUUACAGCAAAGUCUUUAUCACAGAGGAAAGGUUUGAGUUGCUCUUUUCCUCUAAAAGACAGGCAGAUUCCAGAUUCAAUUAAUCUUCUCUGAAAGUUCGUGCUGUAGCCAGAUACCCUCAAAUGAGUAUACACUGUCCUCUGGUUUCUUAUGGCUCCUUCUGCGCUCCGUUAUAUGCCUGGUCUCUGACAAGCACAGCGGGUCCUUGAUGGAAAUGCAAUCUUAAAUGAAGCUUAGACCUGGUUCAUCACUGGUUUUGAAAGAAAGAAGGUUACAUCUGGAAACUGCAGAAAGGCAGUAAUUCACACUGAAGAUAAAGUUUGAUGUAUAAUAUAAAUAGAAUUGAAAUGUUUGUGUUGUUUCAACAGAUUGGCCUAUUAAUAUAUGGCCUGGUGUAGCCAGAUAUAUAUAAAUAUAUAUACUCAUGUACACACCUAGAUAUACAUACAUAUACAUACACUCCUUACAAAUAUUGCAGUUCAUACAGUGACAGAGCCAAUCCUGGAAGCUAAACUCAAAUUUAAAAGAAGCAUAUUUGUCCAGCUUGCUAUUACUAAAUGUAAGGAAUUACUGAAAGAUUUUCUAUUCUGAGACCUUUUACAAUAAUGUGUUCUACCCUGUUGCUAACUAUCAGCUAUAUCAUCUCACCACAGUCCUUCUAUACUUCCUUCGCAAUUAUUCUCCUCGGAUACUGAUGCUGACAAUAGGUGGAGGUCUGGUUACUUGCAGAAGAAAUUUCUGGCCUCAAAGAACUGAAAGGUUAAAAAAGAUUCUCAAAAUUGGAGAAAAUUAUUUACAAAAUAAUGUGGUGGUGAUGUGUCAGUUGCUUACCUUUAUGUAUCAUCUGAACGCUAACAUCUCAUUUUCCAGGACAGUCCCUGCAUUUUUUCCUGUCCUCUAAUGCAAUACAAGCCACAACAGACUCAGUAAAUCUAGAGUUUAAUUGCAGCACAGAUGUGUACCUAAAGAAAUGCUUACAGAUCAGACAAGUGUCCCAGCAAGAGACGAUUGUGCAGCCUUAGAUGCUGAAAGCUUAAUAAGCAUUGUAUAAACUGGUACGAAACGUUCAUUUUAGGCCUCAUAAUUUCCCUCUAAUUAAAUUGUGCAUAAUUUAUAGCAGAUGAAAAUCCCCUGGCUGGCUGUCAUUUGCUGUGUGGUCAUUCCCUACCUUGUGUUUGUCCAAACAUUCUUCUGAAUUAUCCAACUGUUAAACUAUUUGGUGUCAAAGUGUUUCUGGAUUGGUACUAAAGAGUUUUUAUGUUACUUGCUUAACUUUGGUCUGCAGUUUCUCCAUGCAUAAAUACACCGAGCUAUAUUAAAAACAGAGCCUUUAUCUGUGCAAGUUGCUUGGGGAGUAUCUUUCCCUGGUCUAUAAGGCAAAUAAAAAUCAUUGUUUUUGCUUUGACUUAGAGAGUUGAUUUAUAAAGGUUUACUUUUAAAGCUUCUGUUUCGAAUGUGCUAACUCCAGAGUUUUUAUAUAUUGCCCAGAUUCACUUACCCGUGUUUAGGCUAUGAUUUAUAAGCCGUGUGCUUCUGACUCAGGAGGAAUCGCUGACUUAGGACAAAGCAUUAUAAACAAGUUUUUAGUAGCUUAAUAUUUAUCUGAUUUCGGGGAAAUUACAAACGAGCAAAUGUAAAAUACAGUUCUUGACCUUAUUUUUGUUUUGUUUUCCUCUUUCAUGGCCUUUAAUAUAAUGGAAUGUAUCUUAAAAGUCAUAAUGAGAAUUAGAGAAUUUCAAACAGUAAAAUUAACCACAGCAUUGUAGUAAAAGCGUUGCGAGUUCUUUUGGUAUGAAAGUGGAAGCAUCUGCAUUGUAAAAUGCUACUUUUUACCUCUGCUACUGAAUAAAGCCUUUUUCCGUUGAUAUUUAAACAAAUUCACUGCCUACAUUUCCAGUUUGCUCCUGAGCCAGCAACAUCUUGCAGAUGAUUUCUCCACCUGGAGUUAGAUAUACACCCUUCUUUCUCAUUACUGGCACAAACAAGUCCCGACAGGGAAGUUUGGGAUGUACAUUUAUGUUAAUGGGUGUAGAAGAGACAGUAAAAAAUGUAGAAAAGACAGAAUAUCAUGUUCUCUGAUGUUCUGUCACAAAGACACAAGUACAGCUAUGUAUUUCAUGUAUUAUCUGUUUCUGUUUCUAACUGGUGACAAGACAAUGUAAAGCUUUAGAAACUUGUAGUUUGACAUAUAUAUAUAUAUUUCCUACCUCUGUGACAUCCAUUCAGUCCUUUCAGUCUAAACAACUAAACUUUAGCUGUCAUUAGUUGCUGUGUGCAGUGUGAUGUGCAAACACUUCAAGCACAUGGGGCUUUCUUAUAUAUGAAAGUUACUUGAACUCGUUUUCCUUCUUUAAUGUGCAGUCAUGAAAAAUGGAAAUACACUGGGAAAUUGCAAAGCCCCAGGGAGUGCCAGCAAAUGAGGACAACGUGAGAAAACAUCUCCAUCUAGUGGUGUUUGCCAGGGGUUGUUCUCUUACUGAGGUCUUAACUGCGUAAGUUAAAACAGCAGUGCAGUUUUAAAGGAUGGAUCUAGAGGACACAGAAACUCCUCUUUUCUUAUGACAUCCACCAGCCAGCAGUAGGGUUUCUGUAGGAAGCAGGCUGUUCACACUUCACAGCAUUGCUCUUGACACACACAGAACGACUCUAGCUCAGGGAAUCCUCUCAUAUCACAAUGUUGAAGCACUCUGCAGAUAGUACUGAACGUGUGUGUGCCAUUGUUGCUAGGGACUGGAAACCAGGGUUGUAUAUAGGCCAGUCCCCAAGUUCCUGUAGUUCCGCUAGUUCAGAAAUAAUGAGUUAGACAAUAUUAGCAGUAGUAUAACCAUUCUGGCACAACUGGUAAAAUUUUCAUGCUUAAUCAAAAUCCAUUUCAAAUAACCAUAAACUUACAUUCUAAAACUGCUCGUUAAGAUGCAUCCCUGCAGGUACAAAUGAACAAAUUUAACAAACUCAGUUCUCAUGUGCCACUGCUAUCAGACUGAAGUGUUUGGAUUGCCUUCAACAGAAUUCAUCUUGAUUUCAGUCCACAGAGGAAACUCUGGCAAAUUUCCCCCAAAAGAGAAGCCUUUGGGAAACUGGCCUCUUCUCUCAUUUACACUGGUAUUAAUGUGUAGGAACUCAACAUAUGACUAAAUCUAGUUUAAUCACAAUAAGAUGUUUUAUUUAGAAGGCAGAAAUUAUAAAUAUAAGAAGAAUUAAGGAAGAUACAGUGUAUUAUGUGGCUUCCCUUGAUCUGAAGAUCAUAGUAGGAAUGAGAACUCUGUUAAUUCUGCACACUGGCUUUCACCUAUUUGAUAGCAUCCUAAGAGCCAUAGGACUAGAUUAAUCACAUUCUGGAAGUCAGUAUAGGCUGGAGAUAUUCUCUAUUAGUUAGGAUGCUUGGAAAGUGACAAAGUUCAGUAGUGUGGGUAUUUCUGGAGUCCACAAACCAGACUUGACAGUAGAGGAUGGGUUUCAUUUCUUUAAAUCAAUUAAGUAUAUUUAUCCCACAAGCAGGUCUCCAUCUGUUUUCCUGCAAUUGGAAGCCAGUAGGAACAGGAGGAACUAUUCUCUGCUUUUCUGUACAGAUGAUGUGGCAUACAGGAAACAUGGCCAACAUAAUUCCACCAGAUUUUUCCUUAAAGUAAGUGGGACCAAAAUUUAUCCUUUGCUACCAGAUGUUAUCCUGGUUACUGUGACAGGGCACUCCUUGCUCCCCCAUCCAGACUGGUUGUCAUCCCCAAGGCAUAGCACAUAUAAGGAGGUUCAAAACACCUUGUCCUUGUGAUUGACAGCAAUCAGGGUUUCACCAGAGACUGUUAAUGACCACCAUAUUGUCUCAAACUGGGUGCUCAGACACCUGGUUCAGUAGAUUCAAUGCUAAGUCGUAUGAUGAUGAGUCAGCCAUCUUACCCCAUAAAUAAUAAGCAGCCUGAGAGCCCCUUUGAUAGUUGUCCUGCCAAGCAGCUGUCUGCACACCAGAAUCUCCCCUUGAGUAGGGACACCUACUUAAUGCCUGCUCAGAAUUUCGCCUGGAAUGUGGUGAUGCCUUGCUGACAGAUCCUCACUAAGAGAUUUAUUGUUUUUAAUUCAUGCCAGCUUCGUUAUGAUUUCAUCUUAGACUCAUUUUGUACCCCCGCCCUCUGUGUAGCAACUGGCCAAGGAUAUCUGGCCAUUUCAAAUCUUGUUAAGUCACUGUUGUUGUUGUUAAGAUUACCAUCCAUCUAUUUUAUAUCAAUAAAUAUCUUUCUG
ensembl:lncRNA